CAGCCAGGGCCUCAGGAAGGAGCAUUCAGGACACUCCACCAUGGCCUGGAUCACGCUUUUCUUUGGCCUCCUUGCUCACUGCACAGGUGC
rnacentral:pre_miRNA from 1 species